rnacentral:rRNA from 1 species
UACGAAGGGGGCUAGCGUUGUUCGGAAUUACUGGGCGUAAAGGGCUCGUAGGUGGCCAACUAAGUCAGACGUGAAAUCCCUCGGCUUAACCGGGGACUGCGUCUGAUACUGGAUGGCUUGAGAUUGGGAGAGGGAUGCGGAAUUCCAGGUGUAGCGGUGAAAUGCGUAGAUAUCUGGAGGAACACCGGUGGCGAAGGCGACAUCCUGGACCGGUAUUGACGCUGAGGCGCGAAAGCCAGGGGAGCGAACGGG